rnacentral:rRNA from 1 species
CAGAGGUCCCAAGCGUUGUUCGGAUUCACUGGGCGUAAAGGGUGCGUAGGUGGUGAGGUAAGUCGGAUGUGAAAUCUCCGGGCUCAACCCGGAAAUGGCAUUGGAAACUACCUUGCUGGAGGAUUUGAGGGGGGAUUGGAAUACUUGGUGUAGCAGUGAAAUGCGUAGAUAUCAAGUGGAACACCAGUGGCGAAGGCGAAUCCCUGGAGAAUACCUGACACUGAGGCACGAAAGCUAGGGGAGCAAACAGGAUUAGAUACCCUGGUAGUCCUAGCCCUAAACGGUGCUUGCUUGCUGUAAGAGGAAUCGACCCCUCUUGUGGCGGAGCUAACGCGUUAAGCAAGCCGCCUGGGAAGUACGGUCGCAAGAUUAA